CCCUGUUGCCUGCUGACCCUAAUCCUCCUAAUGUUCUUAUAGCCAGUCAGCAAGCAACUAAAACCUACCUACCUGCCCUGCCUUUUACUGUAGUGUUAUCCCAACCCCUGCUUUCAGCCCAGUGCUGGAUAUAGCACGGAAAGUGAAAACAACAACAACAGCCUUUCCUCCUGGGCUCUCUCAGGGAAGAAAUUAUUCGGGCAAAAAUUCAAGCUAGAGGAAUUUGUCAAACCUGUGAGUAUUAUAGAUAGUAUAGUAUAUCAUCAUCACUUCCUCCUUCCUAGUUGUGUCUUAUUGGGAUUAUACAUAUACACUGAGUAUACCAAACAUUAGGACCUCCUUCCUAGUUGUGUCUUAUUGGGAUUAUACAUAUACACUGAGUAUUCCAAACAUUAGGACCUCCUUCCUAGUUGUGUUGUGUCUUAUUGGGAUUAUACAUAUACACUGAGUAUACCAAACAAUAGGAACAACGUCCUUAUAUUGUGUUGCACCCCCCCAUUUUCUCCUCAGAACAGCCUCAGUUCAUCGGGGCAUGGACUCUACAAGGUGUUGAAAGCGUUCCACAGGGAUGCUGGCCCAUGUUGAUUCAAAUGCUUCCCACAGUUGUAUCAAGUUGGCUGGUUGACCUUUGGGUGGGGGACCAUUCUUGAUACACACGGGAAACUGUUGAGCUUGAAAAACCCAUCAGCGUUGCAGUUCUUGACACAACCGUUGCGCCUGGCACUUAUUACCAUACCCAUUUCAAAGGCAAUUCAAUCUUUUGUGUUGCCCAUUCACCCUCUGAAUGGCACACAUACACAAUCCAUGUUUCAAUUGUCUCAAGGCUUGAAAAUCCUUCUUUAACCCGUCUCCUCCCCUUCAUCUACACUGAUUGAAAUGGAUUUAACAAGCGACAUCAAUAAGGGGUCAUAGCUUUCACCUGGAUUCACCUGGUCAGUCUAGGUCAUGGAAAGAGCUCCAUGUAUAUAAUGUUUUGUACACUCAGUGUUUAUUGGCAGUAGGACGCAUUGUAUGAUGCAUAUUACUGUACACAUGCAGUGAAAUGAUCAGGCAUUGCUUGUUAUAUGCGGUCUAUAACCUUCUCAGGAGUGAAUGACACUAUGUAGAAGAGGCAGAAAUGAUUGGUUAAAUGUGUACAAUGUUUGCAUCAGUUCCUGUGAUAUACAGUUAUAUUCUAGGUUUAGAUUAGCUACUAACUUCAGGUGAUUGCUAUUUUGAUGAAUUUGCUGAUGAAUUUGUUUAAUGUCAUACAAAUUAUUUAUGAGCUACACUUUAACAGUCUUUAUGAGAAAUCAACUAAGAAUAUCACAUUUUCUACAUAAAACUAAUGCGAAUAUUGAGGUCUCAUUAUUGAUAUCAAGGUUUUUUUAAUUGAACAAUCAAUCAAUUUAGAAUGUUCCGUUCCUAUGAGAAUGGUUUUGAAUGAGUUGAAGCGUUAAAUUGGUUAUCUUUGUGGAAAUCUGCAGUGGAAUGUUGGACUCAAGACAUUUACAAUGAGUAUACAAAGCAGACAGUAUGACAAUACCUCUAAAGCAGGUAUUCCCAAACCGGGAUUACCUGCGAGUACCAAGGGGUACUCACAAUGCCGUCGGUCGGGGGUACGCCAAAUCAAAAUCUGAUUCACAUUUUUUUUUAAACCAUAAUCAUUAUGAAUAUAUAUAUUUUUCCUCUUUUUUUCUUCACAUAUUGAAUUUAUGAAUAUAUUUUUAUAUUUAUAUUUUCCAACGGGGCCAUACAUUUGGGUGAUGUUUUUUUCUCGCCUGAGUAGCCUCUUUUCACUGCCCAAAAUAAAAUUAAACUAUCUAGUGUUCAGCGAAAUAACAACACAAUGUCAAAUACAGGUAACCUAGUCAAAUAAUUAACAUCCAAUCACAUUAACCAUUACUCUCUCUGGGAAUUCCAUUAACGGUCCAAACGUAGCUGCUGCUCAUGUUGGUAUCUGUACUGAUGGUGCAAAAGCCAUGACAGGGAGACACAGUGGAGUGGUAACGCGCGUGCAAACAGUUGCUCCCGACGCCACUUGGGUGCACUGCAGCAUCCACCGAGAGGCUCUUGCUGCCAAGGAAAUUCCUGCCAGCUUGAAAGAUGUUUUGGACACUACAGUGAAAAUGGUUGUUAACUUUGAACUCUCGUGUAUUUUCUGUGUAUUUUCUGCACUAUGCAAUGAUAUGGGCAGCGACCAUGUAAUGCUUUUACGACAUACAGAAGUGCUGGUUAUCAAGGGGCAAAGUAUUGUCACAUUUUUUUAAAUUGAGAGACAAGCUUAAAGUUUCCUUAAACUACCAUAAUUUUCACUUGUCUGACCGCUUGCAUGAUGACGAGUUUCUCACAUGACUGGCCUGUCUGGGUGAUGCUUUUUCUCGCCUGAAUGAUCUGAAUCUAGGAUUACAGGGACUCUCUGCAACUAUAUUCAAUGAAUUUAAUCAGAAGCCACUGCCAGAUUUCUGGAUAGGGCUGCGCUCAGAGUAUCCUGCCUUGGCAAAUCGACGUUAAGACACUGAUGCCUUUUGCAACCACGUACCUAUGUGAGAGUGGAUUCUCAGCCCUCACUAGCAUGAAAACUAAAUACAGGCACAGACUGUGUGUGGAAAAUUAUUUAGGACUGAGACUCUCCAAUACAACUCAACAUUGCAGAGUUAUGUGCAUCCUUUCAAACACACCCUUCUCAUUAACCUGUGGUGAGUUAUUCACAAUUUUCAUACAUAUAAAGUUUUAUAUGUAAGAUGGUUAAAUAAACAGAAAAAUAUUGAUUAUUAUCAUUAUUUGUGCCUUGGUCUGUCACGCCCUGACCAUAGAGAGCUGUUUAUUCUCUAUGUUGGUUGGGUAGGGGUGUGAUUUGGCAUGCGUUAUCUAGGGGAAUUGUAUUUCUACGGUGGCCUGAUAUGGUUCCCAAUCAGAGGCAGCUGUUUAUCGUUGUCUCUGAUUGGGGAUCAUAUCUAGGUAGCCAUUUUCUCCAUUGUGAUUUGUGGGAUCUUGACUAUGUUUGUGUGUAGUUGCUUUCUGCACUGCAUGUAGCUUCACGGUUCGUUUAUUCGCUUUAUUGUUUUUGUGCUUUGAGUUCUCUCUUCCUAAAUAAAAGGAUGGAAACAUACUACAUUGCAUCUUGGUCCACUCCUUAUGACGAUCGUGAUAUGGUCCUAUAAGAGAUCUUUGUCACUUCCCACGAGCCGGGUUGUGACAAAAACACACACUCAUUCUUAUGUUUAAUAAAUGUAUCGUAUAGUGUGUGUGUGGCAGGCUUACAAUGAUGGCAAAAAACAACAUUUGAGAGUGCGCUGACCCUGGUGCUAGAGGGGGUACACAGCUGGAGGUUGAAUGUUUGAAGGAGUACGGGACUAUAAAACGUUUGGGAACCACUGCUCUAGAGCAUACAGUAUUUAGCAUUGAUGGGUCUACUUUAUAAGUAUUCAAUACUAUGCUAUAAUUUCAACUGAUGUCUUUUCAGUGUUGACUGGCAAUGUUAGAUAUUCAUGUAAUGUAAGCGAGUGAGUGAUAUUAAUUUGUGAGUGUGUGUUUUGUCACAGGUCUUGCCCCGACCAGAAGACCUGCUGACCUCUCAGGCUAAAAAUACCAUGAUGCAUCUCACCGCCCAGAACCACCGGCUAGCUUCUAAAAAUGUAUGUAAUUCCAAAAUACCUAAACUCCAUCUGUCAGCCACACAGGGAGGGGAAGAGGAGGUGGUGAUGGUGGGUCCGCUUAAGACUGGCUCUGCCAUGCUGCCAACGCUAGGCCAAGAGGGCCCUGCCACCCAGAGAGAUUCCUCGCUCCUAGUCAGGUCUUUCCUGCCUGGCUCAUCCCGAGCGAGGGAGGGGGAGAACCUGCCCCUGCGGCGGCCUCUGAAGCUGGCCCCUCUGGAGCUGCCCAGAGAGGUACAGAAGGCCCAGAGACAGAAGAUGAAGGGGAUUGGUCUGGAGGCCAAGGGUGUUUCCCGCAAACUGGACACUACGGUGGGGGACCAACCCUGCCCCAGGAAGGUGAAGGCCUGUGGGGUGAGAGGAGAGAGACCAGAACUGGUUAAGGGUGCGGCAGAGUGUGUCUCCACCCCAGCCCCACAUCCCCUGCCCCUGACUGAAACAGCACCCAGAGUCCAGCGACAGCAGAAGGUUCUGAGAAAGGAGCUUGCUCAUGCCAACCCAAUCCAGAGACACACAGGAGGCAGGCUCUCAGAAGAUUUUGGCUCUACCAUUAAAGACCUCCAUCCUCCUCCUAGAAGCAAACCAGUCUCUCCCUCUGCCUCUUUCCCCGUCAGUACCAAAGCUCAGGCCCAGCAGGCGCCACGUGGCGAGGAGAGCGUAUGCCAUGCGGCCGGCCCGUUCCAGCAGGAGACCGGCAAAAAGAGGCGUCUGAGGAGGGCAGAGCGCCUCGAGGAGGAUCAGAGCAAAUCUAACAUGUCAACAGGAGGAUUACCUGGGGAAGAGGCCAAGCUGGCCCAAGGGUCCCAGCAGGGAAAAGCCCUGAGGGUAGAGAAGACAGAGAAGGCUCGGAGGACAGAGAAAGCCCUGAAGGAGGCCAGUCGCAUGCUGGAGAAGGCUUCCAAGAAGAACGUCAGGUCAGAAUCACUGGAGAACCCGCUGGAAGUGUCCGGAAAGGCCCUCAGGAGGAUGGCAGUGAGCAACCUCCAGGACGCUGUCCUUUGACCUCUGACCCAGAAUCUUUGACCUCUUAACCCCUGACUCCUUUUGACCAGCCCAGGAAGUCGUGAAAACAGACUUGACAGUGUUAAACCGUGUGUUUAUUUGUGCUUAUCACCUGGAAAUUACUAUAGAAAAACCCCUGCAUCUUACUUCACACAGCAUCUGGUAUUCAUAGCAACAAGCCAGUUACAAUUGCCAAGUACCCUAGCAGGCAGUAUGUAUAGUAUAUAAAACAGAAUAAUUAUAGAGUAUAUUAUGAACAAUAUUUAUUUAUUAUUUUGUAGAAAGAUGACUGUAAUAAAAAUGUUUGCAUGCCAACAUGGUACCAUUAGAAUAUGUAAAAAAAAACAGUGACAUUUAACCAUCGUAGAUAUUCUGACAUUGGCUAUUCAAUCUCAUAUUUUGGAUGAGAUAUGUCUACGAAACUGACAUGCAUUCAGGGAAUAUCAUCAUGGGCUCAUCAGACCGAUACAUUGGCCUCAUCUAUGACCACGGAAGCAGCUUCAUUUACACCAAACAAUGGCAUUGAGUAGUUACAUAUCAGAACUCACAAAACAGAGCCGCAACAGCAAUCGGAUGUUUACAUUGACAACAGCAAAUAAAGUUCAUGAAAUAUGCCA
ensembl:lncRNA